GACGGACGCUGGCGGCGUGCCUAAUACAUGCAAGUAGAACGCUGAAGAGAGGAGCUUGCUCUUCUUGGAUGAGUUGCGAACGGGUGAGUAACGCGUAGGUAACCUGCCUUGUAGCGGGGGAUAACUAUUGGAAACGAUAGCUAAUACCGCAUAACAAUGGAUGACACAUGUCAUUUAUUUGAAAGGGGCAAUUGCUCCACUACAAGAUGGACCUGCGUUGUAUUAGCUAGUAGGUGAGGUAAUGGCUCACCUAGGCGACGAUACAUAGCCGACCUGAGAGGGUGAUCGGCCACACUGGGACUGAGACACGGCCCAGACUCCUACGGGAGGCAGCAGUAGGGAAUCUUCGGCAAUGGGGGCAACCCUGACCGAGCAACGCCGCGUGAGUGAAGAAGGUUUUCGGAUCGUAAAGCUCUGUUGUAAGUCAAGAACGGGUGUGAGAGUGGAAAGUUCACACUGUGACGGUAGCUUACCAGAAAGGGACGGCUAACUACGUGCCAGCAGCCGCGGUAAUACGUAGGUCCCGAGCGUUGUCCGGAUUUAUUGGGCGUAAAGCGAGCGCAGGCGGUUUGAUAAGUCUGAAGUUAAAGGCUGUGGCUCAACCAUAGUUCGCUUUGGAAACUGUCAAACUUGAGUGCAGAAGGGGAGAGUGGAAUUCCAUGUGUAGCGGUGAAAUGCGUAGAUAUAUGGAGGAACACCGGUGGCGAAAGCGGCUCUCUGGUCUGUAACUGACGCUGAGGCUCGAAAGCGUGGGGAGCGAACAGGAUUAGAUACCCUGGUAGUCCACGCCGUAAACGAUGAGUGCUAGGUGUUGGAUCCUUUCCGGGAUUCAGUGCCGCAGCUAACGCAUUAAGCACUCCGCCUGGGGAGUACGACCGCAAGGUUGAAACUCAAAGGAAUUGACGGGGGCCCGCACAAGCGGUGGAGCAUGUGGUUUAAUUCGAAGCAACGCGAAGAACCUUACCAGGUCUUGACAUCCCGAUGCUAUUUCUAGAGAUAGAAAGUUACUUCGGUACAUCGGUGACAGGUGGUGCAUGGUUGUCGUCAGCUCGUGUCGUGAGAUGUUGGGUUAAGUCCCGCAACGAGCGCAACCCCUAUUGUUAGUUGCCAUCAUUCAGUUGGGCACUCUAGCGAGACUGCCGGUAAUAAACCGGAGGAAGGUGGGGAUGACGUCAAAUCAUCAUGCCCCUUAUGACCUGGGCUACACACGUGCUACAAUGGUUGGUACAACGAGUUGCGAGUCGGUGACGGCGAGCUAAUCUCUUAAAGCCAAUCUCAGUUCGGAUUGUAGGCUGCAACUCGCCUACAUGAAGUCGGAAUCGCUAGUAAUCGCGGAUCAGCACGCCGCGGUGAAUACGUUCCCGGGCCU
rnacentral:rRNA from 1 species